UACGUAGGGGGCAAGCGUUAUCCGGAAUAACUGGGCGUAAAGGGUGCGCAGGUGGUUUAACAAGUUAGUGGUGAAAGGCAUAGGCUCAACCAAUGUAAGCCAUUAAAACUGUUUAACUUGAGUGCAGGAGAGGAAAGUGGAAUUCCUAGUGUAGCGGUGAAAUGCGUAGAUAUUAGGAGGAAUACCAGUGGCGAAGGCGACUUUCUGGACUGCAACUGACACUGAGGCACGAAAGCGUGGGGAGCAAACA
rnacentral:rRNA from 2 species